UACGUAGGGUGCGAGCGUUAAUCGGAAUUACUGGGCGUAAAGCGUGCGCAGGCGGUCUGUUAAGACCGAUGUGAAAUCCCCGGGCUUAACCUGGGAACUGCAUUGGUGACUGGCAGGCUUUGAGUGUGGCAGAGGGAGGUAGAAUUCCACGUGUAGCAGUGAAAUGCGUAGAGAUGUGGAGGAAUACCGAUGGCGAAGGCGGCCAUCUGGGACAACACUGACGCUGAAGCACGAAGCGUGGGAGCAAACAGG
rnacentral:rRNA from 1 species